UGGGGAAUAUUGCACAAUGGGCGCAAGCCUGAUGCAGCCAUGCCGCGUGUAUGAAGAAGGCCUUCGGGUUGUAAAGUACUUUCAGUCGGGAGGAAGGUGUCAAGGUUAAUAACCUUGGCAAUUGACGUUACCGACAGAAGAAGCACCGGCUAACUCCGUGCCAGCAGCCGCGGUAAUACGGAGGGUGCAAGCGUUAAUCGGAAUUACUGAGCGUAAAGCGCACGCAGGCGGUUGAUUGAGUCAGAUGUGAAAUCCCCGGGCUUAACCCGGGAAUUGCAUCUGAUACUGGUCAGCUAGAGUCUUGUAGAGGUGGGUAGAAUUCCAUGUGUAGCGGUGAAAUGCGUAGAGAUGUGGAGGAAUACCGGUGGCGAAGGCGGCCCCCUGGACAAAGACUGACGCUCAGGUGCGAAAGCGUGGGGAGCAAACAGG
rnacentral:rRNA from 1 species